GAUGAAGAAAGCAGCGAAAUGCGAUAAGUCAUGUGAAUUGCAGAAUUCCGUGAAUCAUCGAAUCUUUGAACGCACAUUGCGCCCCCUGGUAUUCCGGGGGGCAUGCCUGUCCGAGCGUCAUUGCAACCUUCAAGCGCGGCUUGUGUGUUGGGUCUCGUCCCCCGUGGACGGGCCCGAAAGGCAGUGGCGGCGUCCCGACAUGGUGCCCGAGCGUAUGGGAAUCCUCUUCCGCUCGAAUCGGCCCAUGCGGCGCUGGUCGUAACCAAAUUUUUUACCGGUUGACCUCGGAUCAGGUAGGGAUACCCGCUGAACUUAAGCAUAUCAAUAAGCGGAGGA
rnacentral:misc_RNA from 1 species